GAUGAACGCUGGCGGCGUGCCUAAUACAUGCAAGUCGAGCGAACAGACGAGGAGCUUGCUCCUCUGACGUUAGCGGCGGACGGGUGAGUAACACGUGGAUAACCUACCUAUAAGACUGGGAUCACUUCGGGAAACCGGAGCUAAUACCGGAUAAUCUAUUGAACCGCAUGGUUCAAUAGUGAAAGACGGUUUUGCUGUCACUUAUAGAUGGAUCCGCGCCGCAUUAGCUAGUUGGUAAGGUAACGGCUUACCAAGGCAACGAUGCGUAGCCGACCUGAGAGGGUGAUCGGCCACACUGGAACGGAGACACGGUCCAGACUCCUACGGGAGGCAGCAGUAGGGAAUCUUCCGCAAUGGGCGAAAGCUUGACGGAGCAACGCCGCGUGAGUGAUGAAGGUCUUCGGAUCGUAAAACUCUGUUAUUAGGGAAGAACAAAUGUGUAAGUAACUAUGCACGUCUUGACGGUACCUAAUCAGAAAGCCACGGCUAACUACGUG
rnacentral:rRNA from 1 species